GGGUAGCCGGCCUGAGAGGGUGACCGGCCCCCCUGGGACUGAGAUACGGCCCAGACUCCUACGGGAGGCAGCAGUGGGGAAUAUUGCACAAUGGGCGAAAGCCUGAUGCAGCAACCCCGCCUGAGGGAUGACGGCCUUCGGGUUGUAAACCUCUUUUAGCAGGGAAGAAGCGAAAGUGACGGUACCUGCAGAAAAAGCGCCGGCUAACUACGUGCCAGCAGCCGCGGUAAUACGUAGGGCGCAAGCGUUAUCCGGAAUUAUUGGGCGUAAAGAGCUCGUAGGCGGUUUGUCGCGUCUGCUGUGAAAUCCGGAGGCUCAACCUCCGGCCUGCAGUGGGUACGGGCAGACUAGAGUGCGGUAGGGGAGAUUGGAAUUCCUGGUGUAGCGGUGGAAUGCGCAGAUAUCAGGAGGAACACCGAUGGCGAAGGCAGAUCUCUGGGCCGUAACUGACGCUGAGGAGCGAAAGGGUGGGGAGCAAACAGGCUUAGAUACCCUGGUAGUCCACCCCGUAAACGUUGGGAACUAGUUGUGGGGUCCAUUCCACGGAUUCCGUGACGCAGCUAACGCAUUAAGUUCCCCGCCUGGGGAGUACGGCCGCAAGGCUAAAACUCAAAGGAAUUGACGGGGACCCGCACAAGCGGCGGAGCAUGCGGAUUAAUUCGAUGCAACGCGAAGAACCUUACCAAGGCUUGACAUAUACGAGAACGGGCCAGAAAUGGUCAACUCUUUGGACACUCGUAAACAGGUGGUGCAUGGUUGUCGUCAGCUCGUGUCGUGAGAUGUUGGGUUAAGUCCCGCAACGAGCGCAACCCUCGUUCUAUGUUGCCAGCACGUAAUGGUGGGAACUCAUGGGAUACUGCCGGGGUCAACUCGGAGGAAGGUGGGGAUGACGUCAAAUCAUCAUGCCCCUUAUGUCUUGGGCUUCACGCAUGCUACAAUGGCCGGUACAAAGGGCUGCAAUACCGCGAGGUGGAGCGAAUCCCAAAUAAGCCGGUCCCAUGGUGACGUUCGGAUUGAGGUCUGCAACUCGACCUCAUGAAGUCGGAGUCGCUAGUAAUCGCAGAUCAGCAACGCUGCGGUGAAUACGUUCCCGGGUCUUGUAC
rnacentral:rRNA from 1 species